GCCGGUUUAGCUUAGUGGUAGAGCGUCAGUCUUGUAAACUGAAGGUUGGCGGUUCAAUCCCGCCAUCCGGCU
rnacentral:tRNA from 1 species